rnacentral:rRNA from 1 species
CCUACGGGUGGCUGCAGUGGGGAAUAUUGGACAAUGGGCGAAAGCCUGAUCCAGCCAUGCCGCGUGUGUGAAGAAGGCCUUCGGGUUGUAAAGCACUUUCAGUGGGGAAGAAAGCCUUGGGGCUAAUACCCUCGAGGAAGGACAUCACCCACAGAAGAAGCACCGGCUAACUCCGUGCCAGCAGCCGCGGUAAUACGGAGGGUGCGAGCGUUAAUCGGAAUUACUGGGCGUAAAGCGCGCGUAGGCGGUCUGAUAAGCCGGUUGUGAAAGCCCCGGGCUCAACCUGGGAACGGCAUCCGGGAGAGGUAGGGGUACGGGCAAGGGGGGGAGGGUAGAAGCCCGGGUGUGGGGGGAAAGUGGGUAGGGGGGGGGAGGAAGAGCGGGGGCAGAGGCGGCCUUGUGGACUGACACUGACGCUGGGGUGCGAGUGCGUGGGUAGCAAACGGGAGUAGGACCGCGGAGUGC